rnacentral:rRNA from 1 species
UACAGAGGUCUCAAGCGUUGUUCGGAUUCAUUGGGCGUAAAGGGUGCGUAGGCGGCGCGGUAAGUCGGGUGUGAAAAUCUUGGAGCUUAACUCCGAAACUGCAUUCGAUACUGCCGUGCUUGAGGACUGGAGAGGAGACUGGAAUUUACGGUGUAGCGGUGAAAUGCGUAGAUAUCGUAAGGAAGACCAGUGGCGAAGGCGGGUCUCUGGACAGUUCCUGACGCUGAGGCGCGAAGGCCCAGGGGAGCAAAACGGGG